AUUAAGCGUCUCGCGCUGAUAAGCUUGUCGUGCCGACAUUGAACGCGCGAUUUCGAGCAAUGACUUGUUUACAAUGUUUAAAACGUUCUGCGAUGACGUGGCGCGUCACGACACGGCUAGAAUUUCGUGUACAUUCCACGCUGUGGUUGGUAAAAAUUGGUUUUUCCGAAGCUGAACGGUGAACACAAACGUGCUGCAAGUGUGGUGGAAAAAAUUGAAAACACACAGUAAACUUAAUGCGCUGCGGAAACUACAAAAGAUAUCGAAACUGUAUGAAAGAUAUCUAGCUCUUUAAUAAUUCUAUGAAAAUAAUCCGUAACACUAUAUACAUAUCGUCCCUAGGUAAUUUACAAUAACACUUUUAUGAUGAAAAAAAUGUUGCUCUUUUAUCGUCAAAUUCGCCGGUGUUUGACGUGAAAACCUCUAAAUCUAUAUGUAAAUAAAUUGCACACUUGGCGCGUCUAUAUAUUUUACUUAAAAAA
rnacentral:misc_RNA from 1 species